rnacentral:rRNA from 1 species
UACGUAGGGUGCAAGCGUUGUCCGGAAUCAUUGGGCGUAAAGCGCGCGUAGGUGGCUUCGUAAGUCCGUUGUGAAAGUCAAAGGCUCAACCUUUGAAUGCCGCUGGAAACUGUCUGGCUAGAGUCCGGGAGGGGCGAGUGGAAUUCCUGGUGUAGCGGUGAAAUGCGCAGAUAUCAGGAGGAACACCAAUGGCGAAGGCAGCUCGCUGGAACGGUACUGACGCUGAGGCGCGAAAGCGUGGGGAGCGAACAGG